rnacentral:misc_RNA from 1 species
GAUGAAGAACGUAGCGAAAUGCGAUACUUGGUGUGAAUUGCAGAAUCCCGUGAACCAUCGAGUCUUUGAACGCAAGUUGCGCCCGAAGCCACUAGGCCGAGGGCACGCCUGCCUGGGCGUCACACGUCGUUGCCCCCCACCAUCUACUCCUUCGGGAUUGCGGGGGGCGGAUGAUGGCCUCCCGUGCGCCUAGCCGCGCGGUUGGCAUAAAUACCAAGUCCUCGGCGACGCACGCCACGACAAUCGGUGGUUGCGAAACCUCGGUUGCCCGUCGUGUGCGUUCGUCGCGCAUCGAGGGCUCGAAAAAUGCUCGGCUCCGGCUCGGCUUUCAACGCGACCCCAGGUCAGGCGGGGUUACCCGCUGAAUUUAAGCAUAUCAAUAAGCGGAGGA